CUACGGGAGGCAGCAGUGAGGAAUAUUGGUCAAUGGGCGCAAGCCUGAACCAGCCAUGCCGCGUGGAGGAUGAAGGCCUUCUGGGUUGUAAACUUCUUUUAUCUGGGAAGAAAAGCGAGGUUUCUACUUCGUCCGACGGUACCAGAUGAAUAAGCACCGGCUAACUCCGUGCCAGCAGCCGCGGUAAUACGGAGGGUGCAAGCGUUAUCCGGAUUUACUGGGUUUAAAGGGUGUGUAGGCGGAUAAUUAAGUCAGAGGUGAAAUCUCCGGGCUCAACCCGGAAACUGCCUUUGAUACUAUUUAUCUUGAAUUUCGUUGAGGUUGGCAGAAUAUAUCAUGUAGCGGUGAAAUGCAUAGAUAUGAUAUAGAAUACCGAUUGCGUAGGCAGCUGGCUGAACGACGAUUGACGCUGAGGCACGAAAGCGUGGGUAGCGAACAGGAUUAGAUACCCCGGUAGUCC
rnacentral:rRNA from 1 species